rnacentral:rRNA from 1 species
CUUUCCCUCUGGCGGCAGGCCUAACACAUGCAAGUCGAACGGUAACAGGAAGCAGCUUGCUGCUUCGCUGACGAGUGGCGGACGGGUGAGUAAUGUCUGGGAAGCUGCCUGAUGGAGGGGGAUAACUACUGGAAACGGUAGCUAAUACCGCAUAAUGUCGCAAGACCAAAGAGGGGGACCUUCGGGCCUCUUGCCAUCGGAGGUGCCCAGAUGGGAUUAGCUUGUUGGUGGGGUAACGGCUCACCAAGGCGACGAUCCCUAGCUGGUCUGAGAGGAUGACCAGCCACACUGGAACUGAGACACGGUCCAGACUCCUACGGGAGGCAGCAGUGGGGAAUAUUGCACAAUGGGCGCAAGCCUGAUGCAGCCAUGCCGCGUGUAUGAAGAAGGCCUUCGGGUUGUAAAGUACUUUCAGCGGGGAGGAAGGGAGUAAAGUUAAUACCUUUGCUCAUUGACGUUACCCGCAGAAGAAGCACCGGCUAACUCCGUG